UCCGAAUUGGUGUAGUGGCUAACAUUUGACGCUCUCAUUGUAUGAUUAUUAAAUCACUAGGACCGUCAAGCCCGGGGUUCGAUUCCCCGAUUCGGAG